GCGAAAGUGGCGGAACUUGGUAGACGCACCAGACUUAGGAUCUGGCGCCGCGAGGCGUGGGGGUUCGAGUCCCCCCUUUCGCA
rnacentral:tRNA from 1 species